rnacentral:rRNA from 1 species
AACGAACGGUGGCGGCGUGGAUAAGACAUGCAAGUCGAACGGGACUUUAUUUGUAGCAAUACAAGUGAAGUUCAGUGGCGCAAGGGUGCGUAACACGUGGGCAAUCUGCCCAGGGACGCGGGAUAGCUCGCCGAAAGGCGAAUUAAUACCGCAUACGGCUACCGAGGACAUCCUCGGGACGCUAAAGACGGCGCAAGCUGUCAUUCCUGGAUGAGCCCGCGGCCUAUCAGCUAGUUGGCGGGGUAACAGCCCACCAAGGCUAUGACGGGUAGCUGGUCUGAGAGGAAGACCAGCCACACUGGAACUGAGACACGGUCCAGACACCUACGGGUGGCAGCAGUCGAGAAUUUUUCUCAAUGGGGGAAACCCUGAAGGAGCGACGCCGCGUGGAGGAUGAAGGUCUUCGGAUUGUAAACUCCUGUCAUUUGGGAACGAACCUUCCGUUUUACUGACGGAAGACUGAUAGUACCAGAAGAGGAAGAGACGGCUAACUCUGUGCCAGCCGCCGCAGUAA